rnacentral:rRNA from 1 species
CCUACGGGAGGCAGCAGUAGGGAAUCUUCCACAAUGGGCGAAAGCCUGAUGGAGCAACGCCGCGUGGGUGAAGAAGGUCUUCGGAUCGUAAAACUCUGUUGUUAGAGAAGAAAGUGCGUGAGAGUAACUGGUCACGUUUCGACGGUAUCUAACCAGAAAGCCCCGGCUAACUACGUGCCAGCAGCCGCGGUAAUACGUAGGUGGCAAGCGUUAUCCGGAUUUAUUGGGCGUAAAGGGAACGCAGGCGGUCUUUUAAGUCUGAUGUGAAAGCCUUCGGCUUAACCGGAGUAGUGCAUUGGAAACUGGGAGACUUGAGUGCAGAAGAGGAGAGUGGAACUCCAGGUGUAGCGGUGAAAUGCGUAGAUAUAUGGAAGAACACCAGUGGCGAAAGCGGCUCUCUGGUCUGUAACUGACGCUGAGGUUCGAAAGCGUGGGUAGCAAACAGGAUUAGAUACCCUAGUAGUC